UCCCCCUUUCCUGUUUAGAGACAUUCGAGAGCUUAUUGUUUGAACUUUAAAGGACUAUAUCUGUGAAUUCUAUAUUGACUAAGUCAACAUGGGGAGGGUUUCCAGAAGAAAGCAAUUGGAGUUGCCUUUCCCCCACUGUCACAAACAUCCUCCACCAGACAUGAUCCAACAACUACAAAUGACCAGGGAUUAAGCGAGCCUUACGAAACCUCUGCUGAGCUCACACCACCCCGCCUCCGGUCAGGAGUGGAGAGACGAAUUGGAGCCAGGACCAGCUGCAAUUCAUCAUCAUCAACAUUGUACUUAAGCCGGUCCCGAACGCCACCUUGUCACCAGAUCAUCUUGAGUAGUCAUACUAACCUCCACUUCUGCUUCCUCGCCUACGCACCUGCCUGGCUGUGGAUUCCCUUGUCUGGCCGAGACUCAGCGUCCGAAGUCUAUGCUACUCCUACCUGGGUGUCAUCCCCCCUUGUUUGCCUGUUGCGUAGAAAUAAAC